UACGGAGGAUGCGAGCGUUAUCCGGAUUUAUUGGGUUUAAAGGGUGCGUAGGCGGAAGAUUAAGUCGGCGGUGAAAUUUUGCAGCUCAACUGUAAAAGUGCCUUCGAUACUGGCUUUCUUGAGUGUGGAUGAAGUAGGCGGAAUUUGUGGUGUAGCGGUGAAAUGCUUAGAUAUCACGAGGAACUCCGAUUGCGCAGGCAGCUUACUAAACCACUACUGACGCUCAUGCACGAAGGCGUGGGGAUCAAACAGG
rnacentral:rRNA from 1 species